AGACACUCCCAGAAGCGUCUUCACGUGGGUCCCAUCCCACCGCCACCCCCCGCCAGUGUGCUGUUUUGCAGCACAAGGAGGGUGUUGACCCUGCUGCUGGCCUGGCCUCUUCUGGGCCCGUGCUGGGGGUCAGCCCCACGGCCAGGGCACUGAGGGAGCUCUUCUCCUCCAGCUUCACCCUCAUCGCUUCCCUAGGGCCAACACUCCGGUUGGGGGUCAGAUCCGCUGCCGAGGGACACCCCAGCUUGCCUGGGGGCAAGGAAGCCAGCCUGGAGGAAACAACCUCAGCUCCGGGCCUGGGGCGCUACGGCACAAGGGUUCAUGCCCUUGCCACGGGAUCAUAGAGAUGAGCCAAAGAGGGGCCAGACUCUCCUGGAGCGACCAGAGGUGCUGUAGAAGUGACGUCCACCAUGAAGCUCUGGCUGCCCUUGGCGUGCUUGGCCGCUGUGGCCGCAGCAUCCGUCACCCCGGUAAGUGCUGCCCUGCGGACACAGGGGCACCCUGGGCCCCCUUGCCUACCCUCACCUGGGGUGUCUGCACCCAGGGACCCCUGACCACCCUCACCCAGGGUCUCUGCACCCAGCACCCUCCAGGGCCCUGUGCUGGAGGCCUCUCCCCAAGGGCUGAAGCUGACCAAACUGCAGCCGGUGCAGCUGGUGCCACCCCCUGCCGACCGCCCGGGCACAGAGGAGGACACUGGGACGACAAGCCCACCUCUACCUGGGACCGAAGCCCACCCCGAAACGGUGCCCAGCUUGGCUGCAGCCCUCAACGUCACGGAGAGUCCCACAGAGGAGGACACUGGGACGACAAGCCCACCUCUACCUGGGACCGAAGCCCACCCCGAAACGGUGCCCAGCUUGGCUGCAGCCCUCAACGUCACGGAGAGUCCCAGCCCGGGCACAGAGGGGGCCACGGGGCCAGCAAGCACCCACCCCAGCCCCACGGAGCCGGAGGGGCCGCCCGAGGAUGCAGUCACCCUGGCCAGCAGGACCACAGCAGCACCUGUGCCCACAACCACGGAGGGGCCCACCAGCGCCCCAGGCACGACUGCCCCACCGUGCCCAGGGGACGAGGAGCCGGCUGAGGCCUGUGGGGCACCCACAGGGGCACAGACAGCUGCGGUGGCUGAGGCGCUGAGCACCUUUGCCCUGCGCUUCUACCAGCGGAUGGCAGAGGCCACCGACCCUGGCUCCAACCUGCUCUUCUCACCCAUCAACGUGGCCUUGGCGCUGUCACACCUCCUGCUGGGUGAGGGGCAGGGCAAUGCCACGCUCACUGCUACAAGCACUGCAAUGGGCACCACUGUGGGCACCACUGUGGGCACUGCUAUGGUGACCACAAUGGGCACCGCUGUGGGGUACUGCUACGAGCACUGUGAUGGGCACCACCAUGGGCGCUGCUAUAGUGACCACCAUGGACACGGCUAUGGUGAUGGCAAUGAGCACUGCUAUGGGUACCACUGUGGGCACUGCUGUGGGCACCACCAUGGGCACCACUGUGGGCACCACCAUGGGCACUGCUAUGGUGACCACCAUGGGCACAACUAUGGUGAUGGCAAUAAGCACUGCUAUGGGCACUGCUAUGGGCACUGCUAUAGUGACCACAACGGGCACGACCAUGGUGAUGGCAAUGAGCACUGCUAUGGGCACCGCUGUGGGCACCGCUAUGGGCACCACCACGGGCACCGCUAUGGGCACCACCACGGGCACCACUGUGGGCACCACCAUGGGAACAGCUACAUAUGAGUUUGUGGGCACUGCCAUGGGCACUGCUAUGGGCACUGCUAUGCGUGCUGCUGUGGGCACCACCAUGGGCACUGCUAUGGGCACCACCACGGGUACCACCACGGGCACCACCACGGGCUCUGCUAUGGGCACUGCUGUGGUGACCACAAUGGGCACUGCUAUGGGGCACUGCUACGGGCCCUGCUAUGGGCACUGCUAUGGGCACCACCACGGGCGCUGCUAUGGGCACCGCAGCAAGCACGCUCACGGCCACCCGCGCGAGUGACUCGGGUGCACGACCACCAGGCGUCAGCGUGUGGCACCCCAUGCCCGCACAGCGCCGUUACGUGCAUGCCCGAC
ensembl:lncRNA mucin-2-like